GCUUUUAUAGGAUAGCUCAAUCCAUUGGCCUUAGAAUCCAAAAACUCAAGAAUGCUUGAUAAAAGUA
rnacentral:tRNA from 1 species